GAGUUGCCACGUCAGAUACACAUUGAGGCGUCAGUACAUUCUAUCACACAGGAUUGUAGCUCAAACAAAACCAAAAUCACCAAACACGUUUUGUUCAAAAGAAGCCCUUACCUGGAGGAAAAAGAGAGUCCGGUGCCAAUGCCUCCUCUCCUCUGAGUCUAACCAACGGAGCUCCUCCCCGCCUCUUCUUAGCACUGAAUCUCCACGCCUCCUUCGGAAUUUGUGCUGGAACUUGGAAAAUGCGCCGGAGCCACCGUGAACGUGGUGUCGCAACCUCAAGAGUUAGAGGGACUCCUAUGGCUCAUGCCUGUCAUGAUGUUGUUUGAGUUGUGUCAGAAGCAAGGGAAGCAGGUUGACAUUAAGUAUUGGAAGAAUGGGGAAAAGAAUGUUGCAACUGUAUAUGUCGAUGGUAAGUUUAUCGCUUCAGGUUCUUCUAAGAAGAAGGAAACUGCAAAGCUUAAUGCAGCAGCAAAGCAAGCUUUGCUCAAGUUAUCGGAAUCUAUGCCCACUAAUGUUGGGAGGCUAGAUUUUUCUUUUGGACUCAAUAAGUCAUUUGAGAUUGAUGGAGCAAAGCAGAAGUUACAUGAGCUUUGUGGCAAGAAAAAAUGGCCUAAGCCUAUUUACGGGUACAAGCUUCUUUACUAUGAGCAGUGAAGCAAUAGAGUGUGUGUGUGUUCUGAAUUAUUUGAUGAUGAGCCUGUUAGUUUUGUGAGUUGAACCACGAUCAAGCCUCCUCUAUUCUCUCUCCCCCUCCCUCCCUCCUCUCUCUCCCAUAGGCCAUAGUUUAUGAUUUAGAAUUUCAUAAGGAUGGCAUGGAAUGUUUUGAAGAGCUUGAUUACUGGGUUCACAAUGAUUGGAACCAGGAAUACUGAUCUCUAUGGUAUGUCAAAUGAACAUAAACUAGUAGGCUUUGUAGUUUGUUCUAUUGGCUUGUGGGCACUCACAUGUUCACUGCAGUUCUUCUUCUCAAGUAUUCACUGUUUUUUCAAAUUCUCACUUUCAUAUCUAUAUUGUAAGAUAUUGAAUCUAAAUGUACUUUUACUAUAACUUGCAGCCUUGAGAAACAUGAGGGUCCACCACAUGACAAGAAAUAUGUAUGUAGAGGUAGAUGAAAAGUCAAGAGUAAAGGAAGCACAAAAUUCUGCAGCUUCCUGGAUUAUUCGUGCCUUACAAGAAUCUAAUUAUCUAUGAUGUUGCUCCUUUUUUAGAAGAAUAUCAGUGAAGAACAGUUAGAAUGGUUAGGUUUAGUUUAGAAGAAUAUCAGUGAAGAACAGUAAGAAUGACUUGGUUAAUGGCUACAGCUAAAAUACAUGGAAUACUUUAUGGAAUUGCAAGUAGACCCAUGUGAUAUAGGGGUUAAAUGAAUUAUGUUCACUUGAUUGCUUGGGCAUGAUUAGUUUAUGCCACUAGAUUUUUAACUAAAUUGUACCUAUUUAACAGUUUAACAAUUAACACUAACAGUAUAAAGUGAAAGUUCCAUCUGUAUCAACCACUCUCAUUGUUGUAUGCAACCCAAUUGAUUGCUUGCUGUGUCUUUUAUUGCUAAAGCUGCUUAUAUUCUUUAUGUA